rnacentral:lncRNA from 1 species
CCGCUAACAAGAACCUGGAGGGGCGCAAAACAAAGAUGAGUGGGUCAGUAAAAUCAAAGACUUUCCAAAACAUUUCAUUUAAAAUAUUUCUAACUCCUCACCGUAAAACCUGUAUACUUUCCCAGAAAAAUAGUAUAUAAACAUAUAUAUACACAUAUCAUCAAAACUCAGCUCAUAUCCAUCAACAUAACAUAUCAGAAAUAA